GCGUUCUCGGGUUUAUGCGCAAAUGCGUACACGUCUCCUACUCAGACUUUUUCCCCUACACGGGGCCUGACUUUCGCUGAUGUCACCUUCUCUGCAAGGCAUUUUUCAUCUAAAAGCGAUAGCCUAGGAGCAGCUGUUACUAUUAUCAUUUCAAGAAUCAACAACUCUCUGUCCUUACGCUUCCAUGUUCCUUUAUCUCAAGCUUCGGGCAACGCACGUCCCCGAAUCACCUGUUUAUUUGCGGCCUGCCAAUGACUGAAGGGUGGUUCAGAGUCAAUCUCGCGACGGUGGUAGAAGGGUGCGGCCCACCAUCUCCCCUCUACAUUGGCCACUCCUUCCGGAUUGGGCGGCAACCACAGCCGCUGAACAAGGGUUGCCGGUCGCGUCUAUCAAACGGCUGGGAAGGCGGUCUUCCACAGCUUACUUAAUCCUACAUCCGGUCGAAUUCAUGGUUCUUCCUUCAAGCGCACACGAUGCUCUAACGUCGGUUAAGGCAGGUUUAUCACGUUUGCUACUACAGCUGUUUUUGGCGGCCUGUUUCCAUUCUAGUUUUAGUCUUUGUGUCAAGGUGUCACUUUUGUUUUUAUUAGUUUAGACACGUUCAUACUCUUUCUAGUGAUAUGUGAUAAGUAUUUUAAGAAGCUGCAUUUCUCUCACAUAGCCACAAGGGGAGCAAGACCUUAUUGAAGGCUGCUCCAUCACAGAAGGAGCCGAAGCCUUUACGUCACCCCGGCCACGCCCACUUGACGUCCUCUCUAGCGGGUGGUUUCGAACUCGAGAGGCCAGAGAUCAAUAGGUAGACGGCAGAGAGCCACCCCGGGCCUAAGCCCGGGGGCUUGAAGUAGAUCACGGUAUUUUCCUCACACGCGUUAGAUACAAGUCCCUCCGUUAAGCUUCAGUUACCAUACCGAAACAUGCCGACUUUAUAAUAAAUGAAGUCAGUUAAAAGCAUCCCGGGAUUGGACAACUUUCUUCAAGAAUAUGCAACAUAUUGAAAUUCCGUUUAGGUAUUAUCAAAGAUACAAGUGCGUAGAUUUGUUAAAUAAGGUAAACGGUCGAAAAUUGAUGUUAUGUCUUAAACAGUUGAGGUUCCGUUUGGACAAAACGUUAUUACAGUUUAUCGCCUAGUUUAGGUCAACGGAAAUGAAGACAUUUUAGCAGUCUUAUUUUGUAAAACACUUUCAGUCUCGUUUGUAUUCGCCAACAACAUUGCACUACGUAUUUAAUUAUAGUUAUUGUCAUAUGACCAGCAUUGUUUUCCUAACGCGAUAAAGGUUUGUUGAUGACGACAUUUAGUCAUAAUUUUCGGUGUCAAAAGCAACACUAUUUGCAACUACUGGUGGUGGUGGUUAUCAGGUACUAAACUCAUAAAGCAAAAUUCGGCUAUAUAGCUCAAGGUUAACCUGCAGCAACCCCGGCAAGUUCGACCACGUCGGUGGAUCAUCUAGAAAACACUCUUUGAGUUCGGUGUCACGUUGGUGGCAUAUCAUGGAAAAAAUAAAACUCAAGGUUCGCAGCGGCGACCCCGGUGAGUGCGUUGACCAAAGCGCAGCGGUAACAACUCGGGCACUCGUGACUAUGACCACGUCGGCGGCACGUUAUCUAUUACUCAUGGUUGACUGUAGUAACCCCGGUGAGUGCGUUGACCACGUCAACGCACAACUGGGGCACAACUCGGGCACUAGUCGUGAGUUCGUUGCACACGUCUGUGUGGUACAACACAGAACUCGACGUCCUACAUCCGGUCGAAUUCAAGGUUCUUUCUUCAAGCGCACACGAUGCUCUCUAACGUCGGUUAAGACAGGUUUUACACGUUUGCAACCAUAGCUGUUUUUGGUGGCCUGUUUCCUUUCUAGUGUUGGUCUAGUCUUGUGUCAAGCUGUCAUUUUAGUUUUUAUUAGUUUUAGUUGCAUUCAUACUCUUUCCAGUGUUAUUGUAAUUCCAUUUAGAUAUUAUCGAAGUUACAAGUGCGUAAUUUUGUUAAAUAAGGUAAAUGGUUGAAAAUUGAUGUUAUGUCUGGAACAGUUGAAGUUCCAGUUGAACAAAAUAACGUUAUAAGUCUUUAUCGCCUAGAUUAGGUCAACGAAAAUGAAGAGACAUUUUAGCAGUCUUAUUUUCGUAAAACACUUUUAGUCUUGUUUUAUUCGCCAACUAUAUUGUACUAUGCAUUUAAUCACUGCUAUUGUCACAUGCCCAGCAUCCACGUUGCGUCCAGUCUCGUUUUUCUCACGCGAUAAAGGUUUGUUGAUGACGACUCUUAGUCAUAAUUUUCAUUGCCAAAAGCAACACUAUUUGCAACUACCGGCGGUGUUGGUUAUCAGGUACUAAAUUGAUAAAGCAAAUUCGGUUUCAUAACUCAGGUUAACCUGCAGCAACCCCGGCGAGUGUGACCACGUCGGUGGAUCAUCUAGAAAACACUCUUGAGUUCGCUGUCACGUCAGUGGCGUAACAUAGGAAAAUAAAACUCAAGGUUGCAGCGGCAACCCCGGUGAGUGCGUUGACCACGUCGGUGGUAACAACUCGGGCACUCGUGAGUAUGACCACGUCGGUGGAACGUUAUCUAAUACUCAUGGUUUGACUGCAGUAACCCCGGUGAGUGCGUUGCUCACGUCGGUGGGAACAACUCAAGCACUCGUGAGUUUGUUGCGCACGUCGGUGCGGCACAACACAGAACUCUACGUUCGUUGCAGCAACCCCGGUGAGUGCGUUGCCCACGUCGGUGGGAACAACUCAAGCACUCGUGAGUUCGUUGCGCACGUCGGUGCGGUACAACACAGAACUCCACGUUCGCUGCAGCAACCCCGGUAGUGCGUUGACCACGUCGGUGGGCACAACUCGGGCACAUGCACCUUUAAUUACCACGUCGGUGGCAUAAUAUCAAACACUCAAGUGCAGGGCACUCGGAGUUCAUUGAACACGUCAGUGUUUAACACGGAAGUACACAAUAUUUGCUGCAGCAACACCGGUGAGUGCGUGACCACGUCAGUGGCACAGCAAGGGCACUCGUGAGUUCAUUGAUCACGUCGGUGUUCAACAUGGAAGUUCACAAUAUUUGCUGCAGCAAUACCGGUGAGUGCGUGACCACGUCGGUGGCACAUCAAGGGCACUCGUGAGUUCGUUGACCACAUCGGUGGUUCAACGCGAAAGCACUCAGGUCACGCAGCGACCCCGGAGAGUGAAUCGACCACGGCAGUUGGUACAGCACGAAAGCACUCGUGGCUCGCUGCGUAACAGCUGCAGAGUGCUCUAAAUUUUAAUUGAUCUCGCUGAGGUAUUUUAAGUCAACUGCUUUUACGUGAUUCAUCGAUCUUGCUGACGGUCUUAAGCUUAUCGUUUUACGGUAUGUAUGAUUGACUCUUAAUAUGUCGUAUAUUGGGUAUGCCUUUUAUCUUCCAGAAGCAGUAUAGAUCCUUGUCCACUUCUUCUACGCGGGUAUGUAUGGUCUCAUUACCCCCUUUCGCUAUUCUAUUUUUGGGGUCGGCUCCGCCCCUGCUAGUCCUGGCAGGAUACGCCGAGUCCGCACGUCACCCUGGAUCAGUGACGGGGCUCAUGCCAAAGAUUUACCAUGCAAAAUAUUCCCAUGUCGUUAUUUAAAUAAAUCCUGUUCAUACUUAUCAGUGAUCGAGUCUUUAUGGGAGAAAUGUAAGCUUGCUGGUAGUUCUACCAGGAGGACUCAAAUCACGCGCGGCUGGCCGCCAAUCACCAGCUACCAAUCACCUGCCUACACCUGCUCUAUAAAGAGUAGUCUAACAUAUGUCUUUGCUGCUCAGGUCUUCGUUCGACGCACCUCCAUCCACCCCACCACCACCAGGUCGGCCUCAGUCUACUUGUCCAGGGGAAGGCUCCGCCCCUGCUAGUCCUGGCAGGAUACGCCGAGUCCGCACGUCACCCUGGAUCAGUGACGGGGCUCAUGCCAAAGAUUUACCAUGCAAAAUAUUCCCAUGUCGUUAUUUAAAUAAAUCCUGUUCAUACUUAUCAGUGAUCGAGUCUUUAUGGGAGAAUUGCCGGUAAACUCAAACAUUGCAA
ensembl:lncRNA